rnacentral:misc_RNA from 1 species
UCCUCGUUUAAGCGAGGCAGUCUGUCCAGAGUGCUCCCUACUCUCGUAGGGGUGGCAACAGGACAUAAGGGUUGCGCUCGUUGCGGGACUUAACCCAACAUCUCACGACACGAGCUGACGACAGCCAUGCAGCACCUGUGUAAGCUCCCCUUGCGGGGUCGUCAUCCUUUCAGACUUCUACCACCUACAUGUCAAGGCCAGGUAAGGUUCUUCGCGUUGCAUCGAAUUAAGCCACAUACUCCACCGCUUGUGCAGGCCCCCGUCAAUUUCUUUGAGUUUUAAUCUUGCGACCGUACUUCCCAGGCGGCGUAUUUAUCGCGUUGGCUACGCCACAAAAGGGGUCGAAUCCUUUUACAGCAAAUACGCACCGUUUACGGCUAGGACUAC